CCGUGGUCUGACACUGUCACAUUUUUAAUCACGUGUUAAUUUCCAUGAUUUUCACACACACACACACACACACACACACACACACACACACAUAUAUAUAUAUCUUUUUUUUUCUUUAGCACACAUUUACAUGCCAUGUAUUAUCAGACUCCUUUUUACCGUUUUAAUUAAUCAGAUUAUAAUAAUAAUAUUGUAUAAUCCAUUGUGCUGGGGGCAGCCAGUUUACACAUCCAGUACAUGUUAGGCUCGUAUUCCCUCCUAGCUUCCCCCCCACCCCCGAGCCCCCACCCCAGGUAUAUUACAUAUUCUUUUUUUAAUUAUUCAGAUUUAAUUUGAAGUUCUUUUUAAUUAAUCAGGUUUUUGUCGGGUUUUAUUAGAAGUUGCUUCUCUCCUCUUAAUAUUUGCAACUUUUGUAUGCAAGCAUAUUAUAAUUUGUGCUGCAAGUUAUAAUAUACAAGCUUUUAUUUAAUGCACUUUUUUGCCUUGUAUCUUUCUUUUUUGGUAUCUAGCGAACCCACAGGCAGCUUACCUUGGAGACCGGCUGCGGAUAUGGGUACGCACUGGCCCGAAACUAGGCGUUGCGGGCACGGAGACCCGCGCUGCCCCAGUUACCUCCGUCGCAUGUUUCACGGACACAGUUUUUGCCAUAACUGUGUAAUAUACAAUAUUUAAAUAUUUAAAUAUGAAAUUAUUGGUCAAAUAUUUUCUUUUUACUUAAAGUUGUGUUUAUUUAGUAACAAGUAAGACUAGUAAAAUAUUGCUAAAGAUGAAAUCUCAAAAAAAGAUAAAACUAUCUUUGUUCAUAAUGAUUAUUUUUGUUCCAUUGUAAAAGGGACCUUAGAUACAAAUUGUCGUGAAAAAUCUCAUUAUGGAAGCUAGUUAUUUAAUCCGGCAUUUUUCAUUUAGAGGCAUUGUAUAGUGCUAAAUAUUUUGACCUAAUUUACCUGAUUUACCUGAGAGCCACUAACAAUAGUGACCUCGGUGAGGACAGGAAGCCGGUGGCUUGUCGAAGGCCCCCCCCCUCAUAUUUACCUGAUACAUAUGUUCCCAUUAUUUCCUUAUGAUAACAAUAACAAUGUAAAAUGUCAUUCCUAUCUGUCAGUCAAAUCUUAAAGUGGAAAAUAUGUACUGCAAGCUAGAUCACAAAGCUAAGGCUGGCCAAAGCUUAGUGACAUCAAAGUAGGAUAAUCAGUGUCUUCUUGGUGUUAUCUUGAGGUUAUCUUGUGGUUAUCUUGAGAGGAUUUUGGGGCUCAGCGUCCCCGCGGCCCGGUCCUCGACCAGGCCUCCUUUUUGUUACACAUUCCCAGGAAGCAGCAGCCCGUAGCAGCUGGCUAACUCCCAGGUAUCUAUUGACUGCUAGGUGAACAGGGGCAUCAGGCUGAAAGUAACUUUGCAGCCCAUUUCUUUCCACCUCCACUGGGGAUCGAACCCAGAACCUCAGGACUACGAAUCCCGAGUGCUGUCCACUCAGCUGUCAGGCCCGUAAGGAGCUGAUCAGUAUUUAAAUGGCAGAUUUAUCCAAAUUCCUAAGUGCCCAAUCCUCCACAAUCUUGAGAGAUCAAAUUAGAAUCUACAACAAGUAAUGAGGCAUGUACUAUGUGCUUAUCUCUACUAAUGGAGUUGUGCCUUGACAUAUUUCUCUUCAUAAUGGGUAAAAUUGGUGAUAAUGGUAUCAAACUUCUGUACUUCUCCAUGCAAUGGUAACUGGUAAAUACAAUGGUAACUGAACAAAUCCACAAGGGCCGUGACGAGGAUUCGAACCUACGUCCAAGAAACAAUGGUAACUGGUAAAUACAGUGGUAAAUGGUAACUGCUUUAUAUACUUUUCUGAAUAAAAUUAAAAUAGUGAGCUCCAUAAUUAAGUCUUGUUUGUUAUAAACUGUUAGUUGUUCAUUUGCUAUGUAGAGCAAUCAAGAGAUUUCAAUCUUCAAUUUCAGUCAAGCGAUUUCACUCUUUUCGACUUCAAUCAAGAGAUUUCACUCUUGAUGCUCUGCUCUAAACAAAAAAAUGAUGUUACAUGAUAUAGGUAUGAGAAGAAAAGUCUAUUUUAGCAUUUUGCAUUGGCUUUUAUAUUUUAUUUAUGUAUUAUUUGUGUUGAUUGCCAUUAUAAUGUUAAAAUUCUUUCUCAUAAAGACUAGAAACCACUAUUAUCUGUGAUUUGAAUUUAUUUUUAAUUUGCUCAUGUGUUUGCACUUUGGUAAUUUGAUCAGCUCGAAAGCUCGAGGAAAGGCAAGUUUAAGAAAUGCAAGUUUAAGAAACGCAAGUUUAAGAAAUGCAAGUUUAACCGAAUUUACUUGCAUGCAUUUCUUUGAGUUGCCGUUUUUGGUUAUACAGUAUUUUCCCAGGGAGGACUUACCUUUGUAUGUAUGUUACCUCUUGACUGAUGUCAAGGUCAUUUCAGAACUCCAAGUAGGUUGAAUAAAUCACAAAUAAUAACUCUACUUCACACUUAUCUUGCAGUUACCUUGCGUUGAUUUCGGGGCUUAGUGUCCCCCGCGGCCCGGUCCUCGACCAGGCCUCCUAUACACCUACAUACACAUCUGGUGAGCUGUUGUAUUAAAGCCUUGUCUUGGUUCUCUGUUUAUAAUUAGUUUAUACAGGUAAUCAUUUGAGAAAAGAUCUGAAUCGAACCAGUUUGUGUUUGAGGGUGUGAGGUAGUUUGUGUUUGUGUAUAUGUUGUGGGUUAUCUGAAGAUUCCAAGAACCAGUUUGUGUUUGAGGGUGUGAGGUAGUUUGUGUUUGUGUAUAUGUUGUGGGUUAUCUGAAGAUUCCAAGAACCAGUUUGUGUUUGAGGGUGUGAGGUAGUUUGUGUUUGUGUAUAUGUUGUGGGUUAUCUGAAGAUUCCAAGAACCAGUUUGUGUUUGAGGGCGUGAGGUAGUUUGUGUUUGUGUAUAUGUUGUGGGUUAUCUGAAGAUUCCAAGGAGUUGACGACAUCAGUCACGAGAUGCUGCAUAAGAAAGGCAGUACUGUUCUCUGGUACAACCAGACUUUGUGAACUUGAUAUUAAAGGUAGUAUUAUAUUUGUCAGUGUAGUGUCUUGUAAUAUUAUCACUGUCAUAUAUGGAACAACAGGAAUAAGUUCUGUCUCUUGUAUUAUAAGAAAGAGUUCAGGAUGUAUUCUUCAUAAACCCAUCACGAGGAUACAUGAUUAGUGGCUGGAGGAUAUCUUAUGUGGAUGACCUGGUGAACAGUCAGUGCAAUAUCAUCAACUAAAGUGUUCAAUGUAAUAUCACCCUGGUAUAUGUGUGUUUAAUCUCUACUCAAUGCAUUGACUGGAAAAUAUUUAAUGAAAACACUAUUAUUGUGACUACACACAGAGAUCACACUAACGUGAUGCAUCAAUUGAACAAAUCCAAGUUUGUGCCUCGGAGAGGCUACGGGAUCCAGUAAGUUCAGUAGAACUUCGGUUUCAACCCUUUUACCCUGUCGUAGCUCAGUCGAUUAAGGCAGUGUCUGGGAUGCUCCCGGACGCAGGUUCGUAUCCUCGUCAUGGCCCUUGUGGAUUUGUUCACUAUUAUUGUGAUAUAUCAGUAAGAAGACCAAGAGAAAGGAUGUUGCAUUACUCAGCUGGAGUGAUCAUGUCUGAGGGUGUUGUCAAGGUGUAAUGUUUUAGAUGUUUGAGCCUUCUGUAUUUUACUCAGAAAUGUGUUGUAUUCAGAAUUUUUGCUUUGCAUUCAAAUCAGAUCUAUA